rnacentral:rRNA from 1 species
CAGUAGCCGCGGUAAUACGUAGGUGGCAAGCGUUGUCCGGAAUUAUUGGGCGUAAAGCGCGCGCAGGCGGAUCAGUCAGUCUGUCUUAAAAGUUCGGGGCUUAACCCCGUGAGGGGAUGGAAACUGCUGAUCUAGAGUAUCGGAGAGGAAAGUGGAAUUCCUAGUGUAGCGGUGAAAUGCGUAGAUAUUAGGAAGAACACCAGUGGCGAAGGCGACUUUCUGGACGAAAACUGACGCUGAGGCGCGAAAGCCAGGGGAGCGAACGGGAUUAGAUACCCCUGUAGUCCCUGUCUCUUAUACC